rnacentral:lncRNA from 7 species
AGAUUUCACCAAGAAGCUAGAAGGAAGAAAAGGGAGAAUUUCAAGUCUUCAUCUGCAAAAAAUGAAUGGCUGUAGAAGAGAUAACAAUAAGUGAAGAAGAGAUCAGAGGGAAGUCAUGCUUCAUACGUGUACGCCUUUGUUUCCACAGCAUGCGUUUGCUCAUCACAACCAUCACAGGAUCUGAGCUUGCCACCUCUACAAAUCUGCAGAGCUCACAGCUUGUGAUACUUUUCAAAUUAGCUUGGAAAUGACUUCUCACCUGCAAGUGAUUGCCUCAUUAUUCUCUUCUAUGCUGACCUUAGCCUACUUGAAACAAGGAGUUCACCAAAUCAAUGCAGCAUUUUAUGGUGCUGUAGACUUAGAGUGAGAGUUUCCAAGGACCUGUAUUUAAGGUGGACAACUUACCACUAAACAGACAGGGAGACAAUGGUAAAUGGUUGAAUUCUUCCUCCCCUUUCAGUGCUCAAUAGUUGGGGUGAAAAACAGCAUCAAAUUUGCAGAGCUAGAGCACAAUAAUCCAGAUUCAUCUUUACUAUUUAAGAUUUUUUAGUUAUAAGCAGUGUUUACAACCUACUGCGGUGUACUAGCAGCCUUUGCAAGGCUGCAGCAAUAUUCAGUACUACAUGUAUGCUGUAUUUCAUGAAAAACAGAAGUUCAUGUAAUGUGACCUUGUAUAUGUCUACAUUCAAAUGUAAUAUUUUUCUGCUUUUUAAUCCUUCUUUAAUAUUAGUAGAAAUCUGGCUCAGAGCUGUACAGUACCAUAGCCUUUUAUAUAUUUCUUGACCUCUCUUUCGGAUAAAGAUUCUGAUGGCAAUGUAUUAUGAAUACCAGUCAGUCUGAGGCCUAAAUGUAAUUUUUUUGAGCAAAGUAUUCUCUGACCAAAUAUAUUUUUGGUAAAAAAUCCAUAAAUUUUUUAUUGUUCCUAUUCUGCAACCCUGCAAAUAUGGUAGAAACGUGUCUUUUUUCUGCUUCAAAGAUAAUGUUUUAUGCAAUUGUGUCAUUUGAAUGAAGGCAGGAAAUAAAAUCGUUUGCUAUCC